rnacentral:rRNA from 1 species
GGAAGAUGCGAGCGUUAUCCGGAUUUAUUGGGUUUAAAGGGAGCGUAGGCGGGCUGUUAAGUCAGCGGUCAAAUGUCAGGGCCCAACCUUGGCAUGCCGUUGAUACUGGCGGCCUUGAGUUCACACAAGGAAGGUGGAAUUCGUCGUGUAGCGGUGAAAUGCUUAGAUAUGACGAAGAACUCCGAUUGCGAAGGCAGCCUUCUGGGGUGUUACUGACGCUGAGGCUCGAAAGUGCGGGAAUCAAACAGGAUUAGAUACCCUGGUAGUCCGCACCGUAAACGAUGAGCGCCCGUCAUUGGCGACACACAGUCAGUGACCAAGGGAAACCGUUAAGCGCUCCACCUGGGGAGU